CUUGGCUUCAGUGUGUUAGAGCAUCAAGCAGGCUCUUGGGGACCCUGAUUUGAGGACUUGGUUCCUGGACAGCAUUUCUGGACCUGCCUUGGGCCAGACUGGAGGAGACUGCCCUGAAAGGUUUGCUCCAAAGGCAAAGACACAAAGGGGGACUGUGACACAGGUGGCUAAAACUCUGAGAGAAACCUCACUGGUCUUACCACAAAGAGAGGGAAAAGGGCUUCUGCAGGUCAGAGAGUGUGGGGGAAUACCAGAGUGGAGAUGGUUAAAGAAGAUGUUCUACUAAUUUCUGUGUUUGAGGCCCCACAAAUAAUAGAUUCACUCUUGAGCUGCACAUGCAGAGGCCAAACCCAAGGUAGCAUAGAAAAAGCUUUGAGAACUACACUAUAUUUAAACCACUACAUAAAUUUCAGAAAAAUCCCUGAGUAGUACAAGUAUGGUACAGAUACAAGGCUGCAUAGCACAGACUUUGAUAAUUGAACUAUGAACUUAGAUUAAAACCACAGUCUUGGACUAUCUCCUAAGUGGUACAUGUGUGAAAGAAACCAAACAUAGCCUAGUAAAGUCUUUGAAAACUGAACGAGAUGUAGACUAUCACCCACAGAACGCAAGGCAGAACUCACAAACUAAACUUAACUAAGUUGAUUACCUGAUAAAACAAAUGAAAAAAAAAAUCAACAUUCUCCAGAGCCCAGAAUCUACACAGCAAAAUAUUCAAAAUGCCCUAGAUAAAAUCCAGCAUUAGUACUUAGAAAGAAAAAGGAAAAUGUCACCAAUUCUCAAGGGAAAUGACAAUCAACAAAUGUCAACUGCGAAAGCCCAGAUGUUUGAAGUGUCAGCCAAAGAGUUUAAAUCAACUAUUAUAACUCUGUUUCAUGAGGUAAAGGAAAACACGUUCGAAAUGAAUGGAAAGAUAGAUGUUCUCAGCAGAGAAAUUAGAAAAUAUUAAAAUAACCUAUUUGAAAUUUUAGAAAUAAAAAAUGCAAUUACCAAAAUAAAAAAUUAUCUGGGCGAUCUCAAUAGCAGAACAGAGAUGACAAAGGAGUCAGUGAACUUGAAGGGAGGCUAAUAGAAAUCAUCCAAUAUGAGAAACAGUAAGAAAAAUGGCUGGAACAAAUAGCCUUAUUGGAUAAUAGGAUAAGGUUUCACAUACAGAGCACUGUAGUUCCAAAAAGAGAAGAGAAAGAGAUUCGUGCAGAAAAAAAUUUUUUUGAAGAAAUAGCGCUCAGAAACUUCCAAAAUCUGAUAGACUACAUCAAUGUACAGAAUCAAUAUGCUCAGAAAACAUAAAACAGAAAGAUUAAAGAGAAUCAUGCCUAGACAUAUCAUAAUCAAACUGCU
rnacentral:lncRNA from 10 species